AAAUUGAAGAGUUUGAUCAUGGCUCAGAUUGAACGCUGGCGGCAGGCCUAACACAUGCAAGUCGAGCGGCAGCGGGAAAGUAGCUUGCUACUUUUGCCGGCGAGCGGCGGACGGGUGAGUAAUGCCUGGGGAUCUGCCCAGUCGAGGGGGAUAACAGUUGGAAACGACUGCUAAUACCGCAUACGCCCUACGGGGGAAAGGAGGGGACCUUCGGGCCUUUCGCGAUUGGAUGAACCCAGGUGGGAUUAGCUAGUUGGUGGGGUAAUGGCUCACCAAGGCGACGAU
rnacentral:rRNA from 2 species